AUGACGGAAAUAGAAUGGAUAUCAAAGCCUAUGGAAUAUGGAACUGUAAAGUUUACAUGUCUAGAAGAAACUGUAGAACAUCCUCUAAAACCAGUUGUAAUUACUCUGAUUGAUGGACGUGGUGCAGUUAGACGCAAUAUAUUGCGUAGCACUAGCACAGGUUCCUCUACUGGGACACCAACGCCGACACAUACACCGAUUCCUGCAAAUCCACUGAGUGAUCCACUGCUGAGUCAUUCUUCUCUGGAUGGUUCUGAUCCCCUCACACAGUUUGCUCGUGAAGAACUAGAUCCUCUCUCCAAAAUGGCUGCAGAUGAAUGGGAUUACUCUUGUAAUGUUGCAUCAGCCAGCAAAAAACUGAAAGAUACAGCAGAGGAAUUGGUAGAGCCAUGGUCUGUUAGACGUUCUGCCAUAUUGAGCAAAUACACAACUUCUGAAAAAUUAUCAAUUGUUACCAGUUUUUUAUCAGGUGGAGAAAAAGUUGUAGUAAAAGUUCAGCCAAGUGGCCCAAUGGUUGACAAAGUGAAAACGCGACUAGAGCAAUUGGAUGACUUCGAGGAAGGCUCUGUCAGACAAAUGCUAGAUCUGUCGCAACAACAAUAUACUGCACGAAUCGAGCAAUUGAACAACGAAUUAGUACAAGCAUGGCAUUCUGACCAAAGAGUAAAAGCUCUGAAAAUAGCUAUUCAGUGUGCUAAAUUAUUAGUAGAUACGUCUGUGAUGAAUUUCUAUCCAAGCAAGUUUGUUCUCAUCACAGAUAUUUUAGAUAUCUUUGGGAAACUUGUAUACGAGAGAUUGAAAAUGAAGGCUGAAUAUUAUAAACCAGGUAGCAAAAUACCCACGAGUUUACCCGAUAAUUUUACACCCGACAUGGUUCCAGAGAACGCGAAGGAGACAUGUCGGAAUUGGUUUUACAAAAUAGCUUCUAUACGCGAGCUAGUACCGCGUCUAUAUGUAGAGAUGGCUAUAAUAAAAUCGUAUAGUUUCCUAACGACGAGCGAAUUUAAUACCGCUCUAUUACGUAUAACUCGUAUGAUAAGAGGAAUUGGGAACCCGUUGAUAGCGGUUUACGCGCGAUGCUACUUGUGCCGCGUGGGAUUGGCGUUGAACAAAACUUCAGAUUUUGAAUUCGUAAGAGAGAAUCUGUAUGACUUUCUGUUUACAUAUCAGCAGUUGUUCGGAGCUGCUGUGAGGAGUGAAUUAGCGAAGCAAAAUGUCACUCUACACUCUUAUCUGAAUCUCUACUCGCCGGCAUUGGAUUGGAUUGUACAAGUUUUGGUGGCAACGUUGCCUGAGAGUUUUCUCGAAGAAGUCUUGUCUCGAUGUAGAAAGCAAGAAAAUGGAUCAUUGUUGUUGAAUACUGUGCUGACUGCAUUUAAGCCGACGUACAUCGCCGCACGCGCGAUGGAUUUCGUGAAUCUAAUAGUGGCGAGCGAAGACGAUGGAUAUCCUCAGUAUCUCUUGUAUCGCAGUUUGGGCGAGUGUCUCGUGCGAGAGUCUCCGCCGAAAGAGGAUUGUCAGUCGGUGCUCAACGUGAUAUGGAAAUACGUCACGGAGCUCACAGAUCCCAACAAGUUCAUGCAUUGCAUCGAGAUCUGGAUUCAGUUCACCGUUAUACAUUUUUCUGUGAAUGAGCUCAAUUUGUUUUUCGGCAAAAUAAUAGAUCGCUUACGGCCGAACAAAGCUUUCGAGAACUAUUAUCCGCAAUUGCAGAAUAUCGUUGAGAAGAUAGUCACCCAUACACAAGACUUUGAGUCACUACUCGCUGUAGACAACUUCUUGCCGUUAAUAGAUCUGUUUCACAAAGAAAGUAUCAAAGUUGAGGUUUGCAAGACUGUUAUAGAAGGAUUGAGUGCGCAAAGUGGGUCCAUUACGGACCCCAUUAUUAUAAACGCACUAAUGUUUAUCGCUAGGAUCAUGCAUGAUUCUGUUAGCGCUUUAACUGUCGAGGAUGAGAAACGACAAAUCGGGCAACUGAUAUGCGGUCUCGUGCAACGAGUGGAUUACGGUCGUGAUUUUGAGAAGCAGCUAAGUUUCUACGCGGAAGCCAGGGCAGCGUUUCCUAAUCUCGAUAGUGUUCAUAUACAGCUUGUACAGUGUGUAAAUAGAUUAUCGGUCGACACUAGAAAGAUCGUGCGUGGUCAUCACACGAGAAGAACGUCAGCGUUCGUGCGUGCCUGUGCCGCAUUCUGUUUCAUCACUAUCCCAUCGUUGACUCUGGUCCACACGCGUCUUCAAUUGUAUCUAUUAUCCGGACAAGUGGCUCUCUUGAAUCAGUGUCUGGGCCAAGCCGAUGCCUGUUUCAAGGCGGCUUUGAGCUUGGUUCCGGAAAUGCCAAAGACCAUCGACAUCGACGGCAGACAGAAGAGCUCACAGCCGUAUUUACUCUCGUAUCUGUCAAAUUUCUUGUCGACGUUGCUGGUGGUCCCGGAUAGCCCGGAGCAUGGUGUCUUGUAUCUGAUGAGAGGAUUGCUCAACGCAGUUCAACGUUGUUUUGAAGAAAACACUUCGACCAAGUCGUACUUGUAUUUGCGCGUACUAGAUCUGCUGUCGACGGUCGCUCAGGAAAAUUAUCCUUACCAUAUCGAUAAGGUCGAUUCGAACGAUAAGUUGUAUGGAUCUGAUCAGAAAUUCAUCGGUGAGGUCAAUAAAAUUUGUUCGAAAAUCGUGGAAGAAAUUUUGAGUCAUCUCAAGCAUCUCGGGUCCAUUGAUCAAUUUGAUAAGCAAUCUGCCCUGGCGCUCGAAUUGUUCAACUGUUUCAUCAUUCGUGCGGAUCUACGGGAACCUGCGUUAGCGAAUAUGGCUGUAAAUUUGUGGAACUUAUCACAACGCCACGGUUCAGUGGAUCCGAAAGUGACUAUGAGGACGAAGGCUUACAUGAUGCAAAAGAGUCAUCAUCACGAGUACGAGCACUUUUCCGACAUACUCAGGAAAAUGUCUAGGUGAAUAAUAUCGGCUGGGACAUUUCGAUAACACACAGUUUCGAUGCGUUUUGAUUCACUUUUAUUGGCAGUUUUCUCGGAAGACAUUUUUUGAUCAUGCAGUAAAUUUCCCGAUUGUAUUAGUGAAACUAAUUAUAACGAACAAUCAAAUUCGAAUAUAGAUUGAUCACUUCGCAAAAGUUGAACACGAAGAAUGAACUAAAUGCAAGGCUAGAACGGAGCGCGUCCAAAAAUAUAUCGGCGUGACGCUGCGUGAAAGUUAACGCAGGCCUGAGUCGCACAGCUUGUUUGCCGCAGCCGCCCGCUUGGAUGCCUAACGACAGCAGGAAGAGCGUACGAGAACGUGAAACAGUGCUUUUAGCUUUUAGCGCGUAGAUCUUACGUUACGGUUAUACUUCACCUUUGAUUUGAAGCUUCUUGAUGAGAGCGUCUCGAAAUUCAGGUGAAGCGCAAUUAAACGCUAUGAAUGUCCCGCGUCCACGUACCGCGCUUAUUGCGGAAUUCUCCUUUUGCAUAUCCUUUAAAUGUUUCAUCAUGUAGUCGCCGACGCGCGUUACCCUGUCCAAGAGAUUCUCCUUGUUUAUCACAUCGAGGAUCGCUUCCAGCAAGACCAUCUUGCUAGGAUCGCCCAUCCAAGUGUUGAACACGCGAUACGAUUGCUUCGGCCUGUACGGUCGUACGAUGUUUAAUUCGUUGCGCGUGUUUUAAUUAUUUGAAAAGCAAAUCAUCAGAUUGACGUGAAAGGAAUGCUCACUUGAAAGCUUCUGUGUGAUAAUAGCCGCCUAAUUGCAUCUUCUUACUGAAGGUCACCAAAUCCGGCGAACCGUCUAGAUUGAAGUGUUCGUGGCACCACAUCUUCCCCGUUGGGCCACCACCGGUCUGCACUUCAUCGAUAAGUAACGCCGCACCGUUCUAAAAUAUUAAAGUUAAAUAACACAACGUUAAAAUCUUGCAAUAUUUUAAAUUCGAUAAUUUAAUCUAAUAAUGACGAUACUUAUGCUUUAACAGCUGUGCGUUACCUUUCGAGUUAUGCGUUGCAAUUCCCGAAAGAACUCCGGCGACGCAUGAUUGUCACCGCCUUCCGCUUGAAUAGGCUCGAUUAUCACACCAGCCACUGGUGUUUUCUUCUCCUUCUUAUACUUCUCAAACAAUUCCUCGACCUGAAACAUCAUAUAGCUGUCAGACUCUCUUCUCGCGUUUCGAGAAAUCUUUUAAAAAAGCAGCUUGAUAUGAUACCUCCGCGAGACAACGCUUGUCUUCCUGCUGAUUAUGCCGCACGUACUCUUCUAAAGGAUAUUUGUAAUCGGGAAAGGAAGCGAUAGGCCAGUCGAAGGCUGGUAUAUCCAUCUUAUGAAUGUAUUUGCUAUGAGUAGUCGAUAGAGUGCCCAGAGUUCUACCGUGGAAGGCUCCUAUUGUCGUCAAAUAUAUAUUAGAAAAGCAAAA